rnacentral:rRNA from 1 species
GACGAACGCUGGCGGCGUGCUUAACACAUGCAAGUCGAACGGAAAGGCCCUGCUUUUGUGGGGUGCUCGAGUGGCGAGCGGGUGAGUAACACGUGAGUAACCUGCCCUUGACUUUGGGAUAACUUCAGGAAACUGGGGCUAAUACCGGAUAGGAGCUCCUGCUGCAUGGUGGGGGUUGGAAAGUUUCGGCGGUUGGGGAUGGACUCGCGGCUUAUCAGCUUGUUGGUGGGGUAGUGGCUUACCAAGGCUUUGACGGGUAGCCGGCCUGAGAGGGUGACCGGCCACAUUGGGACUGAGGUACGGCCCAGACUCGUACGGGAGGCAGCAGUGGGGAAUAUUGCGCAAUGGGCGGAAGCCUGAUGCAGCAACGCCGCGUGCGGGAUGACGGCCUUCGGGUUGUAAACCGCUUUCGCCUGUGACGAAGCGUGAGUGACGGUAAUGGGUAAAGAAGCACCGGCUAACUACGUG